rnacentral:misc_RNA from 1 species
GUGAAUCAUCAAAUUUUUGAACGCAUAUUGCACUCUCUGGUAUUCCGGAGAGUAUGCCUGUUUGAGGGUCAGCCUAAAAAAAAUCGACUUAGUCGCUGUUUCGCGUUGACAUUCGUCGGAAAUUGGUUCCUCUUAAACCUUUGUGUUUUUUAAUCGGCUUAAAAUUUUCUUUACGUUUCCACGAACGUUUCUAAGAUUUCCUUACACGUUUAAGGUAUCGAUCUUUCUUCUACGUUGCCGUUGCAUCUGAUCGCGUCCAUA